GGACGGGUGAGUAACGCGUGGGUAACCUACCCCAAAGUCCGGGAUAACAGCGGGAAACCGCUGCUAAUACCGGAUGCCUUUACCUUGGGGCAUCUUGAGGUAAAGAAAGGCAACGCUUUGGGAUGGGCCCGCGUCCCAUUAGCUAGUUGGUGAGGUAACGGCUCACCAAGGCGACGAUGGGUAGCCGGCCUGAGAGGGUGGACGGCCACACUGGGACUGAGACACGGCCCAGACUCCUACGGGAGGCAGCAGUAGGGAAUAUUGCGCAAUGGACGGAAGUCUGACGCAGCGACGCCGCGUGAGCGAUGAAGGUCUUCGGAUCGUAAAGCUCUGUCCUUGGGGAAGAAGGCGAAAGCUUGACGGUACCCAAGAAGAAAGCCCCGGCUAACUACGUGCCAGCAGCCGCGGUAAUACGUAGGGGACGAGCGUUGUCCGGAAUUACUGGGCGUAAAG
rnacentral:rRNA from 1 species